rnacentral:piRNA from 1 species
UGCUGCUGGUCAAACUCGAGGCUGACGC